ACACAGACAUUCGAGGUUGAAACGAUUAAAACGAUAAGAAUAACUGUUACGUAUAAUAGUGAACAGUUUUUUUUUUCAAGAGCCAACUUUAUAAAGAGAGAUAGAAGAAAAAUUCUGGCUUUUCAUUGAUUUAAAGAAAAACAACCUUAUUCCUUUCUCUUAUUUUUUCGUGGCAUAGUAAAUAGUAUAUUUACAGUUGUAAAUUCAAAUUUAAAACUUCAUUCGUUUACUGCAACGACAGAGGGAAUACUUGUGAAGAAGAUAAAGGUAAACUAUGCGAAUGUUCUCUUUGUAUAUUAUAACAGGUGGAGAAUUUUGAAUGAUGAAAUAAUUAAAUAUUCAUAGAUGUAGAAAAAAGAACAACGUAAAGGUUUUAUUUAAUAUAAAGCUUAUUAACAAUAGAAUGUUCUUAUUUUAUUCUUUAUAAAUUUGGAUUUCUUCUUAAAAUGAAAGUUAAAAGUUUCAAUUUUCAAUUGUUUAAAGAUAAACUUUUGCGUUACGUCAUUAUUCUUAUCGAGAAAAUACGCAAGUAGGAAAGUAUAAUUGAUUGCUUUAAGAAUUAUUUGUUUAACUUUAGGCCAUAAUUUGUAUUAAUAAAUAGUUUAUCUAGGGUAUACGCAUAAAAAACUGAAGUUAUAUAACGUAUGAAUAUAUAUAUAUAUAUAUAUAUAUAUACAUUUGCAUAGAUGUAUAUAAACAAGUAUAGUUUAUAUAAAACCUUACAUUGAAACUGUUAUCGUAUACCAACUUGUUAUGCUCUAAUUUCUAAGCCAAGUUGAAGAUUUCUCUCUGUUAAUUGAAUAGCGAUAUUAAAAUCGAAUUAUUGAGCUUUCUAGGAGUGAGAACUGUUUUUGUUUUCUUUAUAUGAGAAGGGAUAAUAACUACAAAUAGAUAUUAGCAUAGAAACAAGAGAUUUUUACUGAGAGAUGGGCGAUUCAUCCGACAACAUCCUGCACUUCCGUUCUGGCGCCAAAAUGGCGGCGUCUAGUCAUAAAAAUAGUAGAAAUUUCUUAAAUGAUUACGAAAACACUGCAAAACCGUUUAUUAUUGGAGUUUGUGGCGGUACAGCAUCUGGUAAGACUACCGUAUGCGAUAAAAUCAUGGAGAAACUAGGAGAAAAGGUUAAAUCUAAAGUAGAAGUAAUUGCAAUGGAAAGUUUUUAUAAGGAUCUUGAUCCAGAGGAUAUUGAAGCAGCAAACAACGGACAAUAUAAUUUUGAUCAUCCCGAUGCUUUCGAUAUUGAAUUACUAGAAAAGACUUUUGACCAAAUAAUAGACAGAAAGACUGUCUGGGUACCGGCCUACGAUAAAAAGUCGAAUGAGAGGCUAUCUAAGGAUAAGUGGCAGAAAGUUCCGCCAGCUGAUGUUAUUAUUUUUGAAGGAAUCCUCGCGUUUUACUUUCAAAAGAUUAGAGACUCGUUUCAUAUGAAAUUAUUUGUUGAUAGUGACGCAGAUACAAGACUAUCUCGAAGAGUGCUAAACGAUACGGAGAAGAACGGAAGAGGUUUAGAAAAUGUCUUAAAUCAAUAUACACAAUUCGUUAAACCUGCUUUUGAAGAAUUUUGCCUACCCACAAAACAACACUCUGAUGUUAUAAUACCUAGAGGAUCGGAUAAUACGGUUGCUGUUGAUCUGAUAGUACAACAUAUUGAAGAAUUAAUGAAACCCCGAGUAGAAAGUUUACGAGAUAGACACAACUCGGAUUCAAUAACGGUCCGACCACACUGAAACUGAUGAAGCUCUCUUUAUAAUUUUCGUUUUCCGAACGAAUUAUAAAAUUUUUAUGUUAUGGACUUAUCACAAACGAAUGGAAUUAAUAGAAUAAGAACAAAAAAAUAUUAAAGCAUAUAUUGAAUCACAAAUAUUGAUAGAUUAACUUCCCUCUAAUCUAUUACGCUUAGAAGUCUUGAAUUGCAUGCUACUGUUCUACAAAUUCUAACUCUUUUUCCCUUGAAUUCUUACUAAUACUGCAAAAUUUUUCCGCUUAGUUUUCGAAACAAAUAGCAGCUUGAAUUGUUUGAAAAAAUAUAAUAGUAUUAAAUGUAUAUAUAUAUAUAUAUAUAUACUGUAUAUAUAACAUAUAUCAAAGGACUAUAUUAAUCAGUAUCCAAGACAUGUAAUAUAUAAACUUUAUACAGGUAAUUGCAAUCUUUUCUCUUUAAUUCAAUUGAAUCCAAGUUAAGAUUUGAAAUAUUAUUUAUUUUUAUUGUCAUAGAAAAUAAAGAAGAGACAGUGUUUUAGGGUUUCCAUGUGAUAACUUUAACCGCUAUUGUCGCGGCUUUAACAACGUUGGGUACAGGGUCACUCAUUAAGUCUCUGACCCUUUCUACUUCUUUUAAUAAAGCUGUCCUUCCUUCUGGUGCUUCGGCCAAACAAGUUAGAGCCUUUAGAGCGUUUGCUCUAACUUCACUGCAUUCAUCUUCCAAUAGAUUUAAAAGUGAUUCUAUUGCGUUAAAUUCUAAAGCAGUAUAUUUGCCUUUUGUGGUGAUUGUAAUUAUCAUUAAUGCUGCAGCGGCCAUUGCUCUGACUUCGGUGUUCUCAUCGGAUAAUAAUUGAACCAGGGUUUGGGGAGCUUUAACUUCUACUGCCUUAUUCUUACCAGCCAACGUAACGCUAAGAUCCAUCAUAUCUCUUGCAGCUUUAUGUCUUAUUAAAGGUAAUUCGUGGGAAAGUAAUUUGUUCAAAAUUUCCAUACCUUCAUUCGCUAAUACUUGUUCUGUUUGUACAAGCAUACAAAAAUGCAGGGUAUCCAAUACUAUAGAUUUUAUAUUAUCGGUUGUUGUCGUUAGAGUUUUGACCAGAGUGGGAACUAGGCCAGCAUCGACAAUUCCUUCAGCUCCUUGAGGCGUUUCCGAUAGCAUUUCAAUAGCUUUAUGAGCAUUUACUUUAGUAGCCAUAUCUUUGUCUUCGAAUGCUCUCGCCAAGCUCAAUACAAGUUCGCAACCCAAAAUUGCAUCCCUACCGAUAGCGUGGCUUGACAAUAUAUAUAGGCAUUCAGUAGUCUUUGCUCUAAUCAUAUCAUCACCAUCGUACAACAAACGCUUAAGGCUUUCUGGUAUACCUUCUCUUAGGGCAGAUGCUAUAUGUUCGGGAUCGUGUAAAUAAUCGCAAAGAGCGUUCAAACUACGCUGUCUAGUUAGUAGUUCUUUUGCUUGUAGUUCUCUAUUCAUUCGAGGAAGGGCUCUAUCCCCGUAAGCUUGCGUAGAACGCGUAGGAUCAACGAGAGGAGGCAUUUUUGCUGAAAUUAUUGUCGAUGCCAUGUUGUUUAUUUGUUAGUAAGCCUCCGUCGCUAAGCGCCCAGAUCAAAUUAACAGGAUCGCAUUGAAUUUAAAAUGAACAUUU
rnacentral:misc_RNA from 1 species